rnacentral:rRNA from 1 species
GACGAACGCUGGCGGCGUGCUUAACACAUGCAAGUCGAGCGGUAAGGCCCUUUCGGGGGUACACGAGCGGCGAACGGGUGAGUAACACGUGGGUGACCUGCCCUCAGCUCUGGGAUAAGCCUGGGAAACUGGGUCUAAUACUGGAUAUGACUCCACGGUGCAUGUCGUGGGGUGGAAAGCCUUGUGCGGCUGAGGAUGGGCCCGCGGCCUAUCAGCUUGUUGGUGGGGUGANGGCCUACCAAGGCGACGACGGGUAGCCGGCCUGAGGA